rfam:Helianthus annuus linkage group 1, whole genome shotgun sequence.
GUGGCUUCCUAAAAAUUUGAAUGACGAUUUGGUAAAACUGUUCCAAGGUUGUAUGGAUUGAAGCCUAGAAAAAAUGUUCCCCUCGCUAUCCGGUGCUGCUUUUGAUGUUGUGUUUGGACGUUGGGAAACUACAUUU